AAUCUUCCACAAUGGAUGGAAGUCUGAUGGAGCAACGCCGCGUGAGCGAAGAAGGUUUUCGGUUCGUAAAGCUCUGUUGUAAGGGAAGAACACGUACGGGAGUCACUGCCCGUACCUUGACGGUACCUUAUCAGAAAGCCACGGCUAACUACGUGCCAGCAGCCGCGGUAAUACGUAUGUGGCCAGCUUUGUCGGGAAUUAUCAGGCGUAAAGCGCGCGCAGGCGGUCCUUUCAGUCUGAUGUGAAAGCCCACGGCUCAACCGUGGAGGGUCAUUGGAAACUGGAGGACUUGAGUACAGAAGAGGAAAGCGGAAUUCCACGUGUAGCGGUGAAAUGCGUAGAGAUGUGGGGGAACACCAGUGGCGAAGGCGGCUUUCUGGUCUGUAACUGACGCUGAGGCGCGAGAGCGUGGAGAGCAAACA
rnacentral:rRNA from 1 species